rnacentral:miRNA from 1 species
UAGAACCUGGUAGAAUUCGGCA